CUUGCAAAACCGGUUUCCGUACGAUCACCGAAGUUAAGCACCCUCGUGACGGGUCAGUACCUAGAUGGGUAACUGCUUGGGAAUACCAGGUGCUGUAAG